rnacentral:lncRNA from 1 species
GAAAGAAGAGGCUCAACGGACUGUUGAGAAUUCUUCUUGCCGCCUGAACUUUGGCCGGGCAUUUGGACGGCCAAACAACGUCUGUUUUGGCUCAAAUUUUGAAGAAGUGUUCUACUCGACGAGAGAAAUGAUUCUAUGGUGGUAGGGGAAUUCUUAUAUCUGUGGUAAGGGAACCUNNNNNNNNNNNNNNNNNNNNNNNNNNNNNNNNNNNNNNNNNNNNNNNNNNNNNNNNNNNNNNNNNNNNNNNNNNNNNNNNNNNNNNNNNNNNNNNNNNNNGAAAGCAAAUCAGGUUAUAAAUUUACUAAUUUGAUACCCAAUUGACUUAUAAUUUCCUUAAUUACUAUUUGCAGAACGGAUUGUGGCAUAUUUGUAAUGAAGUUUAUGCAAUUAUGGAGUAACCGUGGAAUUUCUCGUGCAAUUGCAAAUGUAUUAUAUUGUGGUGAAUAAAAUAUAUAUAUAUUUUUUUUAUGAUCAUGAAUUUUUCUUAAUAUUAUAUUAUAUACUCUUUUGUACAGGACAAGGUCAUAAAGUACAAGUUAGGGAUAUGCCAAAGAACCCAUAAUUGCCCAGUUUCAUAAGAAAUUUGACAUUUUCAAAAUUUUACCUUAUCAUAAUGUAUCGUAAUGUUAUUGUAUUUGUAUUGUAAUUGUACUGUAUUUUUAUUAUACCUCUAUAUUUUUAUAUAAAAAAAAUUAAUUUUAUAGAUUUUUUUUUUAUCCAUCAUUGGAUUAUCAUCAACAACUAUUUCACAAUAUUACAAUCAAUGAAAAUUGAACAACGAAUACAAAAUAAACAAAUGAAAAUUAUAAUCAAUUGAGAGACAUAUUUUAUAUAAUAAAUAACAAUAUUUAUUGUAUAUUAUAUAUGUUAGGGAUAUGCCAAAGAACCCAUAAUUGCCCAGUUUCAUAAGAAAUUUGACAUUUUCAAAAUUUUACCUUAUCGUAAUGUAUCGUAAUGUUAUUGUAUUUGUAUUGUAAUUGUACUGUAUUUUUAUUAUACCUCUAUAUUUUUAUAUAAAAAAAAUUAAUUUUAUAGAUUUUUUUUAUCCAUCAUUGGAUUAUCAUCAACAACUUCAUGUAUUGAAAUUACAAUAGUGUAUUUUUGUUGUUGUUUUUUUUUUAUAAUUUUGGCUUGCAAGGAUGCUUUAUGAUAGGAAUACAACAUGAUAGCCUAUAAAUGCCAAAUCAGUAAAAAAUAAUUCAAUAUUUUGUCAUUUUGGUAUAUUGUAAUGUAUCAUAAUGUUAAUAUUUUUUCAUUGUAACUAUAUUGCAUUUGUAUUGUACUUAUACUUUAUAACUGAAAUAAUGGUUCUUUUACACAACCUUCAAACUACUAGGCAUUCGACUCAUCAUACCAAAAUAAUACUUAUACAAAAAGGUAACAAAUUUAUAACAAAAAUAUAGUGAUCUUAAUUCUUUAACAAAUUCAUAAUAAAAGACAAAGUGGUCUCGUACAAAGGGGAUUUCGGUUUUCAAUGACAAUCCAAAUAUGUUUAUAAAUACACAAACAAAGUGGUCCCAAACAAGCAUGAAACAACUGAGAACAUUUUUUCUUCAAUCAUGUCAAAAAGUCUUAACAACAAAACUAAAGUGCAAACCUUUUCAAUGGAAAUCAAUAAUAAUCAUAUCAAACAACCCACCCAGCAAAUAAAUUAAAAAUAAAAACACAUCUUCAAUAUGACCUAAAUAAUAUAAAAAAAUUCAAAAUAAUAAAUUUAAAUAACAUUUAAAAAAAAUGUAAUUUCUUUCUGAAAACCUCAUUCAAUAUUUCAGAUCUAAUAUCUUACAGCUACAUUGUUAAAAUUAUUAACUUUUCCUUCAUUCAAUUCGAUUUUUAAAUUAUUUAUUUAUUUUUCCAUAAACUGACGUUUUUUUUUUUGUUUUUAAAAAAAAAAACUGACCUUUAAUGGAUUUCUUGCUAGAUUCACAAAAAAAAAAAAACAAGUUUUGUGUAUCGGUUGCAGAGAAUGACCUGAAGUGCGCACCUUUUUCCUUUCCCCUUUUUCUUCUACAACUCGGCUCCAGAUAGGUUAAAGAAAGGGAGAAUAAACACUUUUUCACUUUCCGUUGCUUUUCACUUUCCUUGCUUUUCACUUAUUAAGGGUAGUUUUGGCAUUUAAAUAAAAUAAGUCCUUUGGAGGAAUUAUCAUCAUUUUACGUUACCCUUUACAAGACUUAUCAAAGUUACCUACCCUCAUUGGUCAUUUAUUCCCCCAGUCUACCCUUAAGGGUAAUUCCCCCNNNNNNNNNNNNNNNNNNNNNNNNNNNNNNNNNNNNNNNNNNNNNNNNNNNNNNNNNNNNNNNNNNNNNNNNNNNNNNNNNNNNNNNNNNNNNNNNNNNNCAUCAAGUAGAGCAUGUCAGUGAGAAAUCCAUAGCGCUGGCUCGUCCAAUUACUAGAGUAUGUCGCAAUAACCGCUGAACCGGUAAACUCUGAUUUUCAAGGAAAUAAUGUGGGCAAUUAAGGAGGACCCCCCCCCCCCCCCCCCUUUUUCUUUCCAUGGUUGCCACCUCCCUUGUCUGCCUAAUCCAUCUUUUUUGCUUCAUAGCUUGUAGUUCCUUUCUCAUCUCCCUUCCUUCUCCAAACUGAACACCACACCCAACAACGUCAUCGAAACUUCUUUCUUCUCUAACAUGCGCACCCUUAGCAGCUCCCCCGAAGCUUCAUUUUUGUCUUCCUCCAACUUGUGCACCACAAUAGUAAUAACUGAGCCUCAUUGGUUUAUAUUUCAAACCUCAUUUGUCGCAUCAUAGUCAAUGUCACUUCCCAUGUCCCUCAUGUUCUGAGCAGAAGCAGUGUUGGCACCACAAAAUCAACUUAAACGUUGUAGAAACGAACUUUGUCAAGUUCAAAGGCCAAUAAGUUGUGUAAUGACGGGGUAUUUUAGGUCACGUUGGAAAUUCUAGUUUGAAAAGUCUUCCUUUAAGUGGUAGUUGAAAAGUAAAAAAGAAAAAUGAUUGGAGAACACGUGUUAAUUUUGAAUUGGUAAAAUUUGAUUUAUUGUGUUGGUCAAUUAGGCGAAUUGAAAAUUUUGUGUCAUAUCAGCCUUAUGGUAGAAAAUUUUUUAGGAUUUUAGAAAUUAAAAUUUUCCAGAAACGAAAAACGAAAACGAAAAUGAAAAGUGAAUUAAUUAAAAUUAAUUAGAAUUAAUUAAGUAAAAAAUUAAAUUAAAUUGAUUAUUAAUAAAAUUGAGAAAAUUAAAUUUUUGGGUUGAUGUUUAAUAAAUUAAUUUAUGUGUUAUUAAAAAAAAUUGAAUUGGAAAUGAAAUAAAGCAAAUGGAAUAAAUAAAAGAAAAUAAAAUAAAAAAGGGUUGGUUGGGCUUUUGAACUUUGGGUCGUGGGCUUGUGUGGCUGGUGGUUAAGUAAAGAUAAAAAAAAAAAAAAAAAAAAAAAAAAAAAAAAAAAAAAAAAAAAAAAAAAGGAAAAAAAUGAAAAAGGGGUAAAAAAAAAAAAAACUUGUGUGGCUGGGGGUUAAGUAAAGAUAAAAAAAAAAAAAAAAAAGGAAAGAAAGGAGAAAGUGGCAGAAAAAGAAGAGGCUCAACGGACUGUUGAGAAUUCUUCUUGCCGCCUGAACUUUGGCCGGGCAUUUGGACGGCCAAACAACGUCUGUUUUGGCUCAAAUUUUGAAGAAGUGUUCUACUCGACGAGAGAAAUGAUUCUAUGGUGGUAGGGGAAUUCUUAUAUCUGUGGUAAGGGAACCUAACCCUUUAAAUAAUUGUGUUUUUCAUUGAAAAAAAAUUAUAAACUUUGUCAUUAUGAGUUAAGUAGGUAAUAUUGGUGUUGUAGGAAUUUUUUUGGAUUUUUUUGUAAUUUUGGGAAUUCUUUUUAGUUGAUAAAUAAUUGUUUUGGGUUGUUAAAAAUUAUUAGAAGUGUGGGACAAUUCCGAAAUUAGGGUACAAUUUCAAAUCUAGUGAUAUGUGAAUUUUUUAUAAUUGGUUGGAAUAUUUUUGGUAAUUUUAUUGUGAAAAAUUAAUUAUUUUCGAAUAUUGAAAAUUAUUAGAAUUAUUGGAAAAUUCCGAAAGUGUGGUAUAAUUUCAAGUUUAUUGAUAUGUGAAUUUUUGAAAAUUUGUUGGGAUAUUUUUGAGAAUUUUAACGUGGAAAAUUUAUUUUAUUGGAUUAUUAGGAAUGUUGGAAUUGUUGAAAUUGUUGGAAUUGUUGAAAUUGUUGAAAUUAUUGAGAAAUUUUGGAAUUGUGGCAUUCAUUUGCAUCAUGGUUGUGUGAAGAAAGGAUAAAAAUUGUGAAAAGUGUAUGAAAUGGAAAAAGAAAGGAAAAAAAAUAAAAUAGUGAUGAAAAGUGAAAGCCCGUGUGAAGCGAAUUAAGAAGGGAGAGAAAUCCCUAGGGUAAAAGACCCAAAAGUCUAUCCCGGGAAGACUCCGAAUGGGGAGUGUAUUUGGGUGCGAACGCGUAUCCUUCGGUGAAAGUCCGAGAACGAUAGUGCAUUGUAUGACUGUGUGUCACACGUUCAUAUGCAUUUCAUUUAAUUGUUGAAUGUUGUGGAAUUGUGUAUAAUAUUAGAUAUUAAAUUAUGUGGUUUGAUUAAUACCGUAAAAAUGUUUCUUUUGUGCUAUUUGAAACUUAAUAAUCCCCAUUAACCCCUUGGGUGUUAGGCACCCUACUGAGCAAUGUGAAAUGCUCACCCCUUCUUUUUUACAUCUUUUUAGAUGCAGAUAUCAUUCCUGAGGAUCCACAUGUGAGGCAGGGAGGACUUCAGGAUGCCCCUAGAGUGGUCUAGUGGAGCGUGUCUUAUCUAUUGUGUUUGUGCUAUUGGGACUUGUUUUAAUAAAUUGUGAACUAUGGAUAUGUAAUGAGACCCUAAUUUGAUUAAGCUGUUUAACUAUGAACUUUUAUUUUGGACUGUAAUGAUAAUUAAUACAUCUUGUUGCUUUUGAGCAAUGUUUGGGAUAUUAUUGGUUGAUGAAAACUCUAGUGUGAG